CAGCACCAAAGUUUCACCGGUUCGCAUGCUGCGGGAAUAUACUCUUUUUUUAAUGUGAAUUGUUGGAUAUUUGAAAGCAUACCCCAUUUACUAUUAUGAAUAAACCACAUGUAAGGACAAAAGAGCUCGUGUUAUGGUAAAGACUCCACGGUUAAAAUAAUAAUCUCUUCCAACUAGAAGCGAGAGCAGCUUAAGUUAAUCCUAUUGACACCGCCGUUGUAGUUCGAACUCAUAACCUUAUGAUAAGUGGAUUAAAUCUUUGAUUUGUUUCAUUUACUUUAAUAUAAGUUUGGUUUUGUUGUACUACUUGGUCAUUUCGUAGCUCAGCCCACUAUAUAUACCCUCUCAUGCCACCACCAACUAAUAUCCCAUCCAA
rnacentral:lncRNA from 1 species